rnacentral:lncRNA from 1 species
UAUACUACAAGCCAGAUAUGCCUACUACUGCCUGCAAUUACAACACAUAAUAUGCUACUACUUGUUGAUAUGCUUCACAGCUUCGGACUUUGAUUCGCACUUCACCUGUGCAAAGAAUAAGAAUGAAAAUAUAAGAAUAAGAAUAUGUACAGAACAUCAAACAAUAGCCAAUGAGGAAUCCAAUAACUUAUAAGCAAGAAUUGACAGCAAAUGCCAUGUAGAUAAAUAGUGUGACCAACACUAACCAAUAUAUGUUCAUGGAGUGAAAUGUUCUCACUAGCUAGGAUUUUUUUUGGUAUAUAGUAUACUGACAUGUGAAACUCUAACUAAAUUGAUCAUAGAAAUGAAAAGAACUGUAAGAACAAGUUCAUUCAGAAUCUAGGCAUGUCAAAUUUUAAGCACCAAUGGAACAGAUCUAGCAAACCAGACUAUAAUCAUCAUGCAUAAGGAUUUAUGGUUCUAGCAAAACAGUAAGGAGACAGAGAUACACACAUCAAGCAUACCAGCUACUACAUCAGUAGCAAAUAAACAUUGAUGGAUUACCCACCGUGCAUAGACCAAUCAGCAACAACAGGUAGUAGAAGAAGCAGAAGAGGGAGGGCCCUCUCUUGCGAGGAACUCCCUUGAUUGCAAGAACCACAAAACAACUGGUGGAGCAUGGCCGCUGCAAAUUGUGGCAAAUUGUGGUUAAUUCGCCCUGGUAUGUAGUCAGUACUAUCCAACAAUACAUGAAUGAUAUAUAUAGCAAACAGACAGUGUAGGGAGCACUACAUAACUGUAUGAUAUGUAAGCUAAAAAGCACUAUGUAACUAUAUGAACUCUGCGCUAAAAGGUCUUUGGAAGUGUAUGUCAACAGACAAAAUGGUAAUUGGUGUACUCUGCUAUUUUACCUACUAUACACAAAACAGAUUAAAUGUCCAUGGAGAAUUCUAGCAAACGCAAAAAUAAUAUGAUCAGUUGGGAUCAUUUCUGAUUUUGCUUGCUCGCACACCAACCACAAACGUGAUCACAGCCAAGUAUUUAACCAGUUUGCCGCCAAGUUUAAGUUACUACUAAUCGGAAGUGAAUAAUCAAUUAUUAAAGAUAAUGAAGUUAACUGAACAAUUUUUACACAUGUAUAAUGGCGUGAAUGGAGCAAUAGAGCAAUGCCCAAUCCUUACACAUGUAUAAUGGCAUGAAUAUGCAAGUUAGACCUAGAUGUUACUAACAAGUGUUCUUUGCAUAAUUAAUGAAUAAGUAUAGUAUUUAUGACUAGCCAGAAUCAAUCUUUGUGCAUACAUCCUACCAUGUUGUUCCUUGCUAAGUAAGCUCCCAAAAGCAGUAUUAAUAAAAUUGAAACAGAAUAACACAUACAGGACUACAGGAACCACAACAAGAAAUUUUCUGUUGCGAGUAAGCUGCUUGCCGUUGUCCAUUUGCUCCCACCAAGUCAAUCUAUUAU